GGGGUCACUCGGCUGAACAGAUGGCGGGCAGAUAUUGGUUUUAACUCGCACAUGGAAAGAAAUAUUUGAAUCAACGCUUAUAUGAAUGGGAGAGGGGCAGAGAAAGAACAAUAGAGAUGUGCAUGGUGAAUUAGGCCAAAUAUUCUCUGGUACAGCAGAAAUGGAUUCGCUCCACAAAAUGGUUUUUGGACCCCUGCAAGAUUGGGCCUCAGGAUACAGAAAUGAACUGUACAUAGCACCACUCCCAUGGAUCUGCUCUCUGAGUGGGCAGACAGAGGAAGGAACAAACUGAUGGCAGCAGACCCAGGGUGGGCAUUGGGGUCAGACUACCCAUGUUCCUGUUUCUCUUUGUUGCCUAAAAGUCGUGUGACCUCCCGUGGUGACCCACGUGCCUCAGCUCCCUCAUCUGAGGGGCCAGCUGUCUCCUGCACCUUGGCCCAGAAGCGUGAGUGCCUUCCUGCUCAUCUCUAAGGAGUCCUUUGCACUCAUCACAGCAGAAACAGCAAACUCUUCAGUCAGGGCCCCCACGCACCCAAUCCUGAUAAUGCCUGCUUUCUGAUCACCAAAUUAGGGUCACAGUGCAGAUUUGGCUAAAACCUGAACUUCCAAAGGGGGUAAUUAUA